CCUCUCUCCCCUCUCUCUCUUCCCUUCUCUCUCCCCUCUCUGCACGCACUAUGCAGAGCGUGAAGAAAAAACCUAGAUCUCUCUCCGAUCGGCGACGAAACCGAUCACUUCCCUUUGUCGUUUCGCGACAGCUUCAAGGUUCUUCUUCAAGCUGAGGACCGGAUCCGGGGGCGGCAGAGUCCGGACCCGGGAGGCGCUGGGCUCGGAUAUCGUGCGGAGGCCGAUUGUGUGGCCGGCGAAGGAUUUGGUUGGGGAUUCGGUGGAGGACGAGGCGUCCGGAGGAGUGGAGAAGGCUGAUUUGAGCGGCAGAGGAAGCGAAGACAGUGAAGAGGAAGUGCAGGAAGAGGAGGAGGAGGAGUGGGUUGAUCGGGAGGAUAAGAUAUUGGAGGACACGGUGCCUCUAGUUGGCUUUGUGAGGAUGAUUCUGCACUCUGGAAGGUUCAGUGCUCCCAUUUUGUAUUAUGAUUAAUGAGCACUGUCCUUGACUUCUCAUUAGUGGUAAGUGAUUUUUCAACAAUUUCUCUCUCUGUAUAAUGAGAAUUGUCUCUCACGCUUUGAAUUGAUCAA